CGGGACACGUGGUAUCCUGUCUGAAUAUGGGGGGACCAUCCUCCAAGGCUAAAUACUCCUGACUGACCGAUAGUGAACCAGUACCGUGAGGGAAAGGCGAAAAGAACCCCGGCGAGGGGAGUGAAAAAGAACCUGAAACCGUGUACGUACAAGCAGUGGGAGCACGCUUCGGCGUGUGACUGCGUACCUUUUGUAUAAUGGGUCAGCGACUUAUAUUCUGUAGCAAGGUUAACCGAAUAGGGGAGCCGAAGGGAAACCGAGUCUUAACUGGGCGUUAAGUUGCAGGGUAUAGACCCGAAACCCGGUGAUCUAGCCAUGGGCAGGUUGAAGGUUGGGUAACACUAACUGGAGGACCGAACCGACUAAUGUUGAAAAAUUAGCGGAUGACUUGUGGCUGGGGGUGAAAGGCCAAUCAAACCGGGAGAUAGCUGGUUCUCCCCGAAAGCUAUUUAGGUAGCGCCUCGUGAAUUCAUCUCCGGGGGUAGAGCACUGUUUCGGCAAGGGGGUCAUCCCGACUUACCAACCCGAUGCAAACUGCGAAUACCGGAGAAUGUUAUCACGGGAGACACACGGCGGGUGCUAACGUCCGUCGUGAAGAGGGAAACAACCCAGACCGCCAGCUAAGGUCCCAAAGUCAUGGUUAAGUGGGAAACGAUGUGGGAAGGCCCAGACAGCCAGGAUGUUGGCUUAGAAGCAGCCAUCAUUUAAAGAAAGCGUAAUAGCUCACUGGUCGAGUCGGCCUGCGCGGAAGAUGUAACGGGGCUAAACCAUGCACCGAAGCUGCGGCAGCGACACUAUGUGUUGUUGGGUAGGGGAGCGUUCUGUAAGCCUGCGAAGGUGUACUGUGAGGUAUGCUGGAGGUAUCAGAAGUGCGAAUGCUGACAUAAGUAACGAUAAAGCGGGUGAAAAGCCCGCUCGCCGGAAGACCAAGGGUUCCUGUCCAACGUUAAUCGGGGCAGGGUGAGUCGACCCCUAAGGCGAGGCCGAAAGGCGUAGUCGAUGGGAAACAGGUUAAUAUUCCUGUACUUGGUGUUACUGCGAAGGGGGGACGGAGAAGGCUAUGUUGGCCGGGCGACGGUUGUCCCGGUUUAAGCGUGUAGGCUGAUUUUCCAGGCAAAUCCGGAAAAUCAAGGCUGAGGCGUGAUGACGAGGCACUACGGUGCUGAAGCAACAAAUGCCCUGCUUCCAGGAAAAGCCUCUAAGCAUCAGGUAACAUCAAAUCGUACCCCAAACCGACACAGGUGGUCAGGUAGAGAAUACCAAGGCGCUUGAGAGAACUCGGGUGAAGGAACUAGGCAAAAUGGUGCCGUA
rnacentral:rRNA from 1 species